UUUACUUUUUAGCUUCCCUCCAAAAGUAAAUCCUAUAUUUUCAUUUCCUUCUUUCUCUAAUUCAUCCCGCCUAGGGCUUCUCUCUCAAAUACUAGGAGUAAUCAAUAUUCUAUGGUUUUUCUCUCGUCAUCUAUCCAGUCGAGAGAGACUAUGUUGCCACUUCAAAGAAAACCAAUGAUUACCUUUUUAGUAUUCCAUGAAUUUGCAGAUCUAUAUAUUUGGAGGAACUACCAUUUGAAGAUAAUCGGCUGACUGAGUGCCAAUUAAGGGGAGAUCUAUUUGUAUGAAGAUCAAACUAUGUCUUUUAUUCACAUGCUUUUAAUUUCUUUUCGCAGAUGAAUGGGUAUCUAACUACCUCAUGCUCGUUGUUGCUGAUGCUUGCUUCGGCCUGCAUCUAUAUGUAUAUAAAAUCGUCGUCCAUUGGAGUAAUUAUUAUACCGAGAAAGAUGCAGCAACAGUUGUAUGUCAUAUGCUAAAAUAUGCCGCUCAAUGCCAUUUACAUGGUUUGGUGGAUUAUGAUAUGAAAUUCGAGGUUUGCAAGAAAGUCUUAUGCAAUGAUGUUUAGAGAUCUAACAUGUGGAAGUCUUCAUUGUGAUUAAGAGUUAGAGAAAUGUAUAGACUCACUACUAUUUUGUAUUAUGGAUAUUUAAUGACAUUAGUUAGUAGUCUCGAAAUGUCAAUAUCUUUUGGAUUUAAAUUGUGUAUUUUUUUCUUAUGUAUUGACACUCAAAUUGUGGAUUAGUAAUAUUCGUUACAGUUG